UUACCUACGGGAGGCAGCAGUGGGGAAUAUUGGGCAAUGGGCGCAAGCCUGACCCAGCAACGCCGCGUGAAGGAAGAAGGCUUUCGGGUUAUAAACUUCUUUUCUCAGGGACGAAGCAAGUGACGGUACCUGAGGAAUAAGCCACGGCUAACUACGUGCCAGCAGCCGCGGUAAUACGUAGGUGGCAAGCGUUAUCCGGAUUUACUGGGUGUAAAGGGCGCGUAGGCGGGACUGCAAGUCAGAUGUGCAAACCAUGGGCUCAACCUAUGGCCUGCAUUUGAAACUGUAGGUCUUGAGUACUGGAG
rnacentral:rRNA from 1 species